rnacentral:misc_RNA from 1 species
GAUGAAGAACGCGGCGAAAUGCGAUACUUGGUGUGAAUUGCAGAAUCCCGUGAACCAUCGAGUCUUUGAACGCAAGUUGCGCCCGAAGCCAUUAGGCCGAGGGCACGCCUGCCUGGGCGUCACACGUCGUUGCCCCCCCAUCUACUCCUUCGGGAUUGCGGGGGGCGGAUGAUGGCCUCCCGUGCGCCACGCCGCGCGGUUGGCAUAAAUGCCAAGUCCUCGGCGACGCACGCCACGACAAUCGGUGGUUGCGAAACCUCGGUUGCCCGUCGUGUGCGGUCGUCGCGCAUCGAGGGCUCGAAAAAAUUGCCGGGUUCCGGCUCGGCUUUCAACGCGACCCCAGGUCAGGCGGGGUUACCCGCUGAAUUUAAGCAUAUCAAUAAGCGGAGGA